rnacentral:rRNA from 1 species
ACCGGGAUGGACGCACCGCUGGUGUACCAGUUGUUCUGCCAAGGGCAUCGCUGGGUAGCUAUGUGCGGACGGGAUAAGUGCUGAAAGCAUCUAAGCAUGAAGCCCCCCUCAAGAUGAGAUUUCCCAUUCCGCAAGGAAGUAAGAUCCCUGAAAGAUGAUCAGGUUGAUAGGUCUGAGGUGGAAGUGUGGCGACACAUGGAGCUGACAGAUACUAAUCGAUCGAGGACUUAACCUAAA